GGGGUGAACGCGAGCCUUUGGGGGACAGGGAUGAUGUGUUGUACCUUGAAUAUGAAGUGUCUUCAAAAAUCACUUGUGGUAAGGGCUGUUUGGCAUUGAUGGACUGCUAGAAGGCUUAGAUGCUACAGAGGCAGUUGACCAUGGGUGGAAAUCUCCGAGACCUUGGGCCGUUAAAUCAUUUCGCAGAUAACCCUGUCACGACAUCAGAAGGCAACAACAUCGAGACCCCAAGAGCUUCACUAGCCUGGUGUGCUGUCUCACCCGUUAGGCACGUUUUAAAGAGCUUUUACAUCUAGUGUCAAAGUACCCCAGAGACAUGGGCAUACCACGACUCCCGUUGCCUCCUUCAUUCCUAAAGAUCUCAGAUACUCCGGGGUCAUUUCCAUUCGGCCUGGGAGCAUCCUUUUGUGUUUCUUCGGAAAGUCUCUGGUAGUGAAGUCUCUUUGGGCUCUUUUGUAUGAGAAUCCCCUCCCUUGAUUUCAUACCUGAGGGGUUUCCUCUGGCCAUGGACAUCUAGAGUUAUAGUCUUGGAGAUUUUGUUCAUUAAAGAUGAUCGCUGUCUUCUGACCUCCA